AACGACUCUCGGCAACGGAUAUCUCGGCUCACGCAUCGAUGAAGAACGUAGCAAAAUGCGAUACUUGGUGUGAAUUGCAGAAUCCCGUGAACCAUCGAGUUUUUGAACGCAAGUUGCGCCCGAAGCCAUUCGGCCGAGGGCAUGUCUGCCUGGGCGUCACGCAU
rnacentral:rRNA from 1 species